rnacentral:rRNA from 1 species
AACCUUUACACUGCACGACAGUGCGAUAGGGGGACUCCGAGUGCGAGGGCAUAGAGCCCUCGCUUUUGUACACCGUAAGGUGGUGUACGAAUAGGAACUGGGCAAGACCGGUGCCAGCCGCCGCGGUAAUACCGGCAGCUCGAGUGAUGGCCGAUCUUAUUGGGCCUAAAGCGUCCGUAGCUGGCCGUGCAAGUCCGUCGGGAAAUCCACCCGCUCAACGGGUGGGCGUCCGGCGGAAACUGCAGGGCUUGGGACCGGGAGGCUUGAAGGGUACGUCCGGGGUAGGAGUGAAAUCCCGUAAUCCUGGACGGACCACCGAUGGCGAAAGCACCUCGAGAGCACGGAUCCGACAGUGAGGAACGAAAGCUGGGGUCUCGAACCGGAUUAGAUACCCGGGUAGUCCCAGCUGUCAACGAUGCCCGCUAGGUAUGGCGCAGGCUACGAGCCUGUGCUAUGCCGUAGCGAAGGCGCUAAGCGGGCCGCCUGGGAAGUACGUUCGCAAGAAUGAAACUUAA